ACCGGCGUGGCGGAGUAUGGCGUUAAAAAUAAGGACAAGUGGUAUGAAGGCGCAAGCCAUGCGCGAGCUUCGCGGGUUCGAGUCCCGCCGCCGGUG
rnacentral:tRNA from 1 species